CCGGAUCAGGCCAAACCGAAGAGAUUCGUCUCUUCGGGGGUUGUAGGGCCUCCAUAAAGGUACCAGCAAGGGUAACGGAAGCGCUCUGGAAAGAGCUCCGAGACAGGGUGAUAGGCCCGUACGUGAAACCUGAGCUGGAUCUGGAGGUACCCUGAGUACCACAGGGCACGAGCAACCCGGUGGGGAAUCUGGGAGGACCAUCUUCCAAGCCUAAGUACUCCUGUGCGACCGAUAGUGAACAAGUACCGUGAGGGAAAGGUGAAAAGCACCCCGGUUAGGGGAGUGAAUAGUAUCUGAAACCGUCCGCUUACAAGCCGUUCGAGGGCUAUGCGCAAGCACGCCUGAGAGCGUUCCUUUUGAAUGAUGAGUCCGCGAGUUGCGGUAUGUCGCAAGGUUAAGCCGUAGAGGUGUAGCCGCAGGGGAAACCGAGGUUCUAACCGAGCGUAGAGUGGCAUGCUGCAGACCCGAAGCGUUGUGAUCUACACGUGGCCAGGAUGAAGCGCGGGUAAUACCGACGUGGAGGUCCGAAUCCACC
rnacentral:rRNA from 1 species